AUGUACCUGGGGGCACUUGUUUGUGAGUACAGAUGGGAGAAGAGAAGUCUUGGCACAGUGGCUCCUCCAGUGCUGCUCCUCAGUGCUCCUCAUGGCCCAGAUCAGCAGCAGCCCCCAGAGCUCCCGCAGCAUCCAGAGCUCCCAGAAGAGCAGCCAGAGCUCCCAGAGCUGUGGCAGCAGCUGGAGCCUCCAGAAUGGCCACCACCACUGCCACAGCAGUCAGAGUUCUGGUGUCAGCGUCGAAGAGAUCGGCGGGGCUUGUGGUGGCUCAGGCAGCACCCGCCGCCCCCAGAGCUGCAGCAGCUGCUGCCCCCAGAGCUGCAGCAGCCGCCGCCCCCAGAGAUGCAACAGGAAGAGACUGGAGCUCCUCUGCUCCGCGGCCUCCACCCCACCGCCACGUACCGCUGCCUGGGCGAAGCGCUGCUGCUGUCCCGCGCAGGGCCCGCUGCCUUGGGUUCCGCGAUGGCCAACUCGGCAGCGCUGCUGGGCCAGGCCUGCGGGCAGCACGCCAUCGCCGUCGUGGUCGCUGCCCCAUAGGCGGGGCUCGUGCCGCCCAUCCGGCGACACUACAGCAAGGCGGCAGCCGACCGCGAGGACGACCCCAGCUUCUUCAAGAUGGUGGAGGGCUUCUUCGACCGUGGGGCCAGCAUCGUGGAGGACAAGCUGGUGGAGGACCUCAAGACCCGGGAGAGCGAGGAGCAGACCUCAAGACUGGAUGCACGGCAUCCUGCGGAUCAUCAAGCCCUGCAACCAUGUGCUGAGCCUGAGCUUCUCCAUCCGGCAUGACGACGGCUCCUGGGAGGUCAUUGAAGGCUACCGGGCCCAGCACAGCCAGCACCGCACACCCUGCAAGGGAGAUAUCCAUUACAGCACUGAUGUGAGUGUGGAUGAAGUGAAGGCUCUGGCUUCUUUGAUGACAUACAAGUGUGCAGUGGUUGAUGUGCCAUUUGGUUGUGCCAAGGCUGAUGUUAAGAUCAGUCCCAAGAACUAUACUGAUAAUGAAUUGGAAAAGAUCACAAGGAGGUUUACCAUGGAGCUGGCAAAGAAGGGCUUUAUUGGUCAUGGCAUUGAUGUGCCUGCCCCAGACAUGAGCACGGGCGAGCGGGAGAUGUCCUGGAUUGCUGACACCUAUGCCAGCACCAUAAGGCACUAUGAUAUUAAUGCCCAUGCCUGUGUUACCGGUAAGCCCAUCAGUCAGGGCGGAAUCCAUAGGCGGAUCUCUGCUACUGGCCGGAGAAUCUUCCAUGGGCUUGAAAAUUUCAUCAACGAAGCUUCUUACAUGAGUUUUUUAGGAAUGACACCAGGGUUUGGAGAUAAAACAUUCAUUGUUCAGGGAUUUGGUAAUGUAGGCCUGCACUCUAUGAGAUAUUUACAUCGUUUUGGUGCUAAAUGUGUUGGUGUUGGUGAAUCUGAUGGGAGCAUAUGGAAUCCAGAUGGUAUUGACCCAAAGGAACUGGAAGACUUCAAAUUGCAACAUGGAUCAAUCCUGGGCUUCCCCAAGGCAAAGCCCUAUGAAGGGAGAAUCUUAGAAGCUGACUGUGACAUCCUGAUCCCUGCUGCCAGUGAAAAGCAGCUGACCAAGUCCAAUGCACCCAGAGUCAAAGCCAAGAUCAUUGCCGAGGGUGCCAAUGGGCCAACAACUCCAGAGGCUGAUAAGAUCUUCCUGGAGAGGAACAUUAUGGUGAUUCCAGAUCUCUACUUGAAUGCUGGAGGAGUGACAGUAUCUUACUUUGAGUGGCUGAAGAAUCUAAAUCAUGUCAGCUACGGCCGUUUGACCUUCAAAUAUGAAAGGGAUUCUAACUACCACUUCCUCAUGUCUGUUCAAGAGAGCUUAGAAAGAAAAUUUGGGAAGCAUGGUGGCACUCUUCCCGUUGUACCCACAGCAGAGUUCCAAGACAGGAUAUCGGAUGCCUCCGAGAAAGACAUCAUGCACUCUAGCUUAGCUUAUACCAUGGAGAGCUCUGCCAGGCAAAUCAUGCGCAUGGCCAUGAAGUACAACCUGGGUUUGGAUCUGAGAAUGGCCGCCUAUGUCAACGCCAUUGAGAAAGUUUUCAAGGUGUACAAUGAAGCUGGUGUGACCUUCACAUGGACGGAGUGUGGCUGACCUCUUCACUGCCCUCUUCCCCUCUUCAUCUGCAGACUCUUCACAAGUUUACAUGUAACCACAGAAAUCUCUCUCUCUCUCUCAACUUACUAGAUAAUGGACAUCAUUCUCAACAAGUCAGUCCAAAUCAGCCCCUUUGAGCAAAAAGAAAUAAAGGUUGGGGGAUCAUGUACAAGCUGAUGAAUAUGAAAGUAGAAAUUACCUAUGCCAGAGAGCCAUUUGGGUAUUUUGCCAUUAAAUGAAAGGCCUCUUCCGUCUGUCUGUGCUGCUUUGUUCCGUGGCCGCUUUGAGUGUGGUCAGAGCUGGGGCCAGGAACACACCCAUUGCCCAGGAGCAGCCAGCUGCUGACCGCUUCGAUCCUGGACGAGUCAGACACACUCUAAGGCGUCAGAUGUGAGCAUUUUCAGAAGGUGGCAUGGUCCUCAAGUGAGUUACUGGUAUUUUACAUCAGCAAAAAAACUCAAUUUCACAGAUAGCAACAAAAAUAAAACUGUUUCUCUUUAUGCAUUUU